UGGGUGUCCCAGCUCGGCCCACAGCCUCCCCAGAGAGCCAGAGGAACUCACCAGCAGUAGUGUUCAGAAUGAGGCCAAGAGGCUGGGUGGAGGGAGAGCUUGAGGUUGUGCUCUGGUGACUCGAGGCCCCAGAGGUGGGUCAGCUGGUUCUAGGUGGCAGCUUGGCUGAGGAGGCUUUGAACCCCAGCAUUGCCCCCCAAACUCCACUCACAGUCCCUACUUUCAGCUGAAAUUAUCCAACAUACUCCAUCUUUCUCAGAAAUGUCUUCCCUGUGCCGAGUCUCCACCUGUCUCCUGGUAACUUCCUGUGCUAGUCCUGAGGUCCUGCAGGCUGGAUGCCAUCUGCAGAUGUCCACGGCUGGGAGGGAAUUUCUCUGAGUCCUCUCUUGCAGUGACAUUGAUUUACGUCCUUGUUCUUCAACUGGCCAGAGAGAAGAGGAGCAAGGCUCUCAGCCCCUUGGGUAAUGGGGCUGCAUGCAAGAAGGAGGUGGAGGAUUGCAUUUGGCCCGGGGUCAUCCUGGGAGACCCAGGGCUCCUCCCUGCCGAGCUACCUGAGCAAUCUGGGGAGCCCACUGCUGCUGUUGGACCAGUCCCAGCAUCUCUGAGCGAUACUCUGUGACCUGGCUUCCUGGACCCUUCCCAGCGAGGAGAACCAAUCCACAUUUUUUGCUUCUACCAUGUCCACCUAAACAAUGACUUAUUUUUCCCUGCACUGCUUUAAAAUAUAUUAUGUAGGCUGGGGAUAUAGCUUAGUCGUGCAGCACCUACCUGGCAAGAGCAAGAUCCUGAGUUUGAUUCCUCACAUCCCCUCAAAAAUAUUUAUAUUACAGAAACUUAGUAUUUGAAAAAAAAAUUAUAUACCAAUUACAAAUAGAAAAAUGAAAGCUAAUUCCAAAAAGAAAUAUAUAUAAUUCCAUAACCUGGUGUUGGGGAGGCCAAGGGUUGUGGAGUGGAGCUGGGGCUCUCUGAGGUGGGGUGAUCGAUGGGGGGCCAUUGGCCAGUGUUUGCAACCCCGAUUUCUCCUGGGCCUCAUCUCAGAGGGUGCAGAGAAUGAGUCAGAGACACCUGCCUCCUCACGGGGUCAAACAGCUGCACCAGGCAAGGCUGGGCCUGAAUCCUUCCG
rnacentral:lncRNA from 1 species